rfam:Ictidomys tridecemlineatus contig011341, whole genome shotgun sequence.
AUAGCUUCUCAAUCUUUUGGCUAAGAUCAAGUGUAGUAUACCUUUAAGUUUAAUGUCUAAUCUGUCCUCUAUCCAAGGACAAUAUUUUUGAGAAGACAGAAAUGCUGACCCUGCUUUGAACAUUACACCAUGUUUUUAUGCAUCUAAUAUAU